CGUAGAGAAUUUUCAUGAAGAGACGAAGAGUGUGAAGUGAACCUGCCAUGUGUGUGUACAUGUACCAGAUCUGUACAUGAAAACAUAUGUACAUGAGUACAGAUAUAUCUGCAAACACGAGGUUAUGAAUUUCGUUUUGGGGUCAAUGGAGUUGGCGGUGGUUGCCGUUACUGGCCUUUUGCGACGUCUUGAUAUCAGUUUGAAAUAAUAGUUCUGAACUCUGGGGAAUCCUCACUCAUACUCGAGUCAACCUGCAGACAGGUCGGCCAGUUUGUUUCAGUAUGUUUCUGGAUGUGCUUCACGCUUGAAGGUCAAGGGAAAGACAUAACGUAAAACUGGCAUGCGGUGGUGUAGAGGUUGGGUGAGAAUGACACGUGUUUCAACAU
rnacentral:lncRNA from 1 species